CUCAUUCUGUCUUGCCGCCACAAUGUAAGAAUUGUCUCUCACCCUCUGCCAUGUAAGAAUUCUCUUUCACCCUCUGCCGUGAUCGUGAGACCUUCCCCAGCCAUGUGAAACUUUUUCAGCUUUCCUCCACUGUUUUGGGAAACGUCACCUUCUUAUCUUGGAAGAGUAAUCUCAAAAUUGAAGCAUCUUAGAUCCAACAAGAAUUAAAAGGAUGGGAAGUCCUUGCAGCCAUCCAAUAGAGUCAGAAGACUUUGGAUUUUGGAGUCUGUGAGAUUAUCUUACAGAGCAAGACUGCAGAUCAAGAUUUUCCAACGUGGUGCUGACUUUUUUGAGAACAGUUAAUGAGAACUAGGAAAGUCCUUGCAGACCAUCCAGUCCAGCGGCUUUCAAAUGGAAAAUGUGAAAGGACAACAGAAUCACAUGGAUUCUUUUCUGAACUGCUUUUUUCCAGUGAUGCCAUAUUCUAUAAGACUUCAUGUGAAGGAUGUACUCACAUCCCAACAAAUUGAAAAUGCUGACCAAUCCCAGCACAGCCAACUCGAAUUUGCUCCUUCAUCAAAGUGACCAGCACCUCAUUUCUUCCUCUUUAGAAUUUAUAGGCAGAUCACUGAAGCAUCACUCCUGAAUGUUCCUCUGUACCCUCAAUGUGCAUUUGCACUACCAGUGAUCUCAAGAAUUCUAGAAAAUGAAAACUGGAUUACCAUCACCAACGUCUAGGAACUGUGAGUCCUAUGGCUAUUGAUAUCUAACAUCCUGGCUUCACUCACAUGGAUGAGCCCCACCUGGAAUGCCUAGAAGACGUGGGACAGCUGGAUCUCUCUCCACACGGUUUUUCAUUGUUGCCUCAGGUUCCAAUAAAAGCAAAAGCUGCAAGGUCUUCUGAGGCAAAGACUUAGAAAUACCACAAUGUUACUUCUGCUGCAUUCUGUUGAUAAAAGAAUCCCACAAUGCCAGCUUCAUUUAAAGGGGUAAAGAUAUAGAUUAUUCACCUUCGAUGGGAGGAACUGCAAAUGAUGUAAUUAGUGAUAAUUUUUAAUAUACUGUAAUGUAUUGACUUAUCUUUAAAAAAUGAAAAAAUAAACCAAAAACUAAAAGCAAAACAAAACUAUAAUAGAAAACAAUUGCUUCUGGAGGAGGAAUGCAAUGGGGAAAAGGUUAUAGAAACAAAAGCUACAUUUUAUUUGAAUAUACCUGUUUUAGGUUUGACCCUGGUAACAUUUGAUAUUUUACAUAAUUAUAUCAUUAUUUAAAAUUAAAUUUUAAAACACCAAUACCCAUAACAGAAAAGUUUGAUAAAAGAGGUGAAAUAUAAAUAUAAAUAUAUUAAGUUUGCAUUAUAAUCACACAGAGAUGAAUUGUGUCAGUUACUCAAACACAGAUAUUUGACUAUACAACCUUUAUAAGAUAUCCUAAGGACAAAAAAACAUGCAAAAAUAUAUAUUGAACUGUUUUAAAAUUAUAUUUUUUUGCAAUUGAAUUGUUAUUGUGAGACAGGUGUGUACAUAUUUUAAGAUCAAGCAAGUUAGUAAGCUUGUUGACAUUAUUGUAAAUGGGAUUUGUCCCAUGGGGUAAAGAAGAUAUAAUAGCAAGUAGAAGAAAAUAAAUGAAAACCCAUUAAUAUGAGUUUGAAGUUAAAGUAUCAGUAUGAAGUCAUGAAGCAUUUUCCCAACAAAAAGAAAAAAAUAGUUUCCUAGUUCUAAUCACUUAAAAGUAUAUAGAAACAACAUAAAACUCAAUAUCAAGAGGAAAUGUAACUCAGAUGUGCUCUGUAGACAUUUCCCCUAAAAGGAGUUGAAGUUCAUUGCAAACAAGUAUCUAAUUCCAGCUUGGGGUUUGAAUAUUGUACAAGAUGGGCCUGGAAUAUCAAAUUCUCUUACUAAAAAGCAAGGCAGAUUUGAAAGACUAUUAGGAUGCAUCAAAGAGACUCAGAGGAGUCACCCUGAAGAGGUUACCAUUGGCCAAAGGUAAAAAUUUGAGAAUCAAUAAGAAAAUCAAAGGCAGUAGAUUAAAAUGCCUCAAAUAUGCUUAAAUCUAUCUGUUCCUAAUAAUGUUAAUUUAAAAAUAAUGUUGUCAUUGGACAGCUUUGAAGAAUGUUAGGGAUCCAUAAGAAUGUACAGUUUUGAAUUAAAGAGAAGAAUUGAGCAUUUAUCCUGUUUUUCCUUUAUGGAUUAUGUCUAAGGAUAACCAAAUGUUGAUGACAGAAAAUCCUUUUUAAAGAUACCUUUAGCCAAAGAAUGAAGAAAGAAUGAUAGAAUUGAAAUGUUACCAUUUUUGCAACCCCUAAUGAAAUAAUGAAUCUAGCCAGUUGUUAUCAAUUGUUGCUAACAUAAAAAAUGAGAGACAAACAGACACGCCUCUUCAUAGAAGUAUAUGAUACCACCUAUAAAAUAUUACUGCCAGAAAAAAAAAUCAAACUUUGGAUCUAAUUACCAAUUAGAUCAGCCUUUAGCUCUAACAACCAAUUUGCAAUAUUUACAGGAGAUACAGGAGCAUGUUGAAUGACACCAUAAAAAGGCAAUCAGUAAAAUUUAGUUUAUUAUAAACUAUAUAGGAUAAGUGAUCCAGUUGCUGCAAUAAAUAUAUUACAGAAGGUGUGUAUUGGCGGGUGGGAGAUAAAGGAGCAAUCUAUAGAUAAAAACAGACUUAAGGGACAUAAAAACAACUUUAAUGUAUGGAUCUUAUUUGGAUCCUUAAGAAAACAAAUUGUAAAGUAGCAUGAGACAUUUGAAGAAAAUAGAAAUAGUUUUUAAGUGUGGUAAUGAUAUCGUGGUUAUACGUUGUUAAAGAAUGCCUUUAGAGGUAAAUACAGAAAUAUUUGCAGAUGAACUAAAAUGAUGUCUAGAAUUUACAUAAAAGUAAUCCUGUAGGGAGAGUGAAGAAGUGGAAAGAGUGGAUAUUGAUAGGCAAGAGUAGCUAUAAUUUGACCACUGCUGAAUGUUGUUGAUGGAUAAAUGAAAAUGUAUUAUAUAUUUUUUUACUUAUAUAUUUGAAGAUUUUGAUUUUUAAUAAAGUGAAGCUGAGAAAGGGAAAAUCAUUUUUCUUGAUGUCAGGCUUUGAACAGAGAUAAAAGUAAAACCACUGUAGACCAAAGUGGAAAAAUAAAAAGCAAACAUAAACUUUUAUGCUUUCAGCUCUCUAUUACUGGCUUGUAUUUUUUUUUUAAUCUUUAUUUUAAGUUCCAGGGUACAUGUGCAGGAUGUGCAGGUUUGUUGCUUUUGUAAAUGUGUGCCAUGGUGGUUUGCUACAUCUAUCAACCCAUCAUCUAGGUAUUAAGCCCAGAAUGCAUUACCUAUUUUUCCUAAUGCUCUCCCUCCCCCCACUCUACCCCCCAACAGGUCCCAGGAUGUGUUAUUUCCUUCCCCGUGUGCAUGUGUUCUUAUUGUUCAGUUCCCACAUAAAAGUGAGAACAUAUGGUGUUUGGUUUUCUAUUUCUGCAUUAGUUUGCUGAGGAUAAUGGAUUCUAGAUCCAUUCAUGGCCCUGCAAAGGACAUGAUCUCAUUCCUUUUUAUGGCUGCAUAGUAUUCCAUGGUGUACAGGUACUUUUGAUUGCCUAUUUCAUUUACUUAAACAUAUUCAACCUUUCAAAAAAAUAUUGUUGGUACUUGAAAAUUACAAUAAAUUUGGUGUUUUGGGGUCUGAUUCUGCUCUGUUCUUUCUGUAACUCACACUCUUUAAGAACUUACUUAUAGUUUACUAGGUUCUCAAAAACUUGCUUAAACCAGGGAAAAAGUUAAAACAACACCACUUUAUAAAAAAUGUUGAAAAUAAAGUAAGAUGACUUUUAAGUCAGAAAAAACUGAGGCUACCACUUACGAGUUUGCCACUUACUUAAAUGGCUUACUUCUUUUUUAUUCUUUUUUAAAUUAAGAAUUUUAAGAGCAGUUUUAGGUUGACAGCAAAAUUAAGAGGAAGACACAGAGAUUUCCCAAAUACUCCCUCACCCCACACAUCAAUAGCCUCUCCAAUUAUUAACAUUUCCCAUCAAAGCAGUCUUUUUUUCUACAACAGAUGAACCCACACAUCAUUAUCACCCAAAGUCCAUUGCUGGCAUUAGGUUCACCCUUCAUAUUAUACAUCCUAUCAGUUUGGAUAAACGUAUAAUGAUAUGUAUCUACCAUUACACCAUCAUAGUAUCAUACAGAAUACUUUGACUGUUCUAAAAGUCCUCUGUGCUCCACCCAUUUAUCCCUCCCUCUUCUCUGUCUCCUGGCAACCAUUUAUUUUUUACUGUCUCUGUAUUUUUGCCUUUUUCAUAAUGUCAUAUAGUUGGAUUCAUACAGUGUGUAGCCUUUUCAGAUUGUCUUCUUUUAUUUAGUAAUAUGCAUUUAAGCUUCCUCCAUGUCUUGUCAUAGUUCGACAGCUUCUUUCUUCCUUUUUUAAAAAAAUUUGUUUUUAAUUUCAAUAGCUUUGGGGGGAACAGUUGGUGUUUGGUUACAUGAAUAAGUUUUCUAGCGGUGAUUUCUGAGAUUUUUAUGCACCCAUCACCUGAGCAGUGUACACUAUACACUGUGUAGUCUUUUAUCCCUCACCCUUCUCCCACCAUUUCCCCUGAGUCCCCAAAGUCUAUUGUAUCAUUCUUAUGCCUUUGCAUCCUCACAUCUUAGCUCCCACUUGUGAGUGAGAACAUCUGAUGUUUGGUUUUCCAUUCCUGAGUUACUUCACUUAGAAUAAUGGUCUCCAAUUCCAUCCAGGUUGCUGCAAAUUCCAUUAUUUCAUUCCUUCUUAUAGCUGAGUAGUAUUCCAUGGUAUGUAUGUAUAUAUGUGUGUGUGUGUGUGUGUGUGUGUGUGUGUGUGUAUAUAUAUAUAUAUAUAUAUAUAUCACAAUUCCUUUAUCUAUCUACUCAUUGAUUGAUGGCCAUUUGGGCUGGUUCCAUAUUUUUACAAUUGCGAAUUGUUCUGCUAUAAUACAAACACGCAUGUGCAAGUAUCUUUUUUGUAUAAUGACUUCUUUUCCUCUGGGGAGAUAUCCUGUAGUGGGAUUGCUGGAGCAAAUGGUAGUUCUACUUUUAGUUCUUUAAGGAAUCUCCACACUGUUUACCAAAGUGUCUGCACUAGUUUACACUCCCACCAGCAGUUUAAAGGUGUUCCCUUUUUACCACAUCCCCACCAAUGUUUAUUUAUUUUUUUUUUUGAUUUUUUGAUUAUGGCCAUUCUUGCAGGAGUAAGGUAAUAUCACAUUGUGAGUUUGAUUUGCAUUUCCCUGAUCAUUGGUGAUGUUGAGCAUUUUUUCAUGUUUGUUGGCCAUUUGUAUAUUUUCUUUUGAGAAUUGUCUAUUCAUGUCCAUAGCCCACUUUUUGAUGGGAUUUUUUUUUCUGAUUUGUUUGAGUUCCUUGUAGAUUCUGGAUAUUAGUCCUUUGUUGCAUGUAUAGAUUGCAAAGAUUUUCUCUCACUCUGUGGGUUGUCUGUUUACUCUGCUGAUUGUUUCUUUUUCUUGCAGAAGCUUUUUAGUUUAAUUCAGUCCCAUAUUUUUAUCUUUGUUUUUGUUGCAUUUGCUUUUGGGUUCCUGGUCAUGAAGUGCUUGUCUAAACCAAUGUCUAGAAGAGUUUUUCUGAAGUUAUCUUCUAGAAUUUGUAUAGUUUCACAUCUUAAAUUUAAGUAUUUGAUCCGUCUUGAGUUGAUUUCUAUAUAAGGUGAGAGAUGAGCAUCCAGUUUCAUUCUUCUACAUGUGGCUUGACAAUUAUUCCAGCACCACUUGUUGAAUAGGGUGUCCUUUUGCACUUUAUGUUUUUGUUUGCUUUGUUGAUGAUCAGUUGACUGUAACUUUAUUUCUGGGUUCUCUAUUCUGUUUCAUUUGUCUAUGUGCCUAUCUUUAUACUAGUACCAUGCUGUUCUGGUGACUAUGUCCGUAUAGUAUAGUUUGAGGUCAGGUAAUGUGACGCCUCCAGAUUUGUUCUUUUUGCUUGGCUUUGUGGUCCCUUUUUUGGUUCCAUAUGAAUUUUAGGAUUGUUUUGUACUAGUUGAGUGAAGAAUGAUGGUGGUAUUUUGAUGGGAAUUGCAUUGAAUUUGUAGACUGCUUUUGGCAGUUUGUCAUUUUCACAGUAUUGAUUCUACCCAUUCGUGAGCAUGGGAUGUGUUUCCAUUUGUUUGUGCAAAGCUACUAUGAACACCUUUACACGCAUAAACUAGAAAACCUAGAGGAGAUAAAUUCCUGGAAAUACACAACCCUCCUAGAUUAAACAGGAAGAAAUACAAACUUUGAACAGACCAAUAACAAGCAGCAAGACUGAAAUGGUAAUACAAAAAUUGUCAACAAAAAAAAAUUCAGAGGUGGGGCAUGGUGGCUCACGCUUGUAAUCCCAACACUUUGGGAGGCUGAGGCAGGUGGAUCACCUGAGGUCAGGAGUUUGAGACCAGCCUGGCCAACAUGGUGAGACCCUGUCUCUACUAAAACAUACAAAAAUUAGCUGGAUGUGGUGGCGCAUGCCUAUAAUCACAGCUACUCAGGAGGCUGAGGCAGGAGAAUUACUUGAACCCGGGAGAUGGACAUUGCAGUGAGCCGAGAUCAUGCCACUGCACUUCAGCCUGGGCGACAGAGUGAGACUCUGUCUCAAAAAGAAAAAACAAAAAGUUCAGAACAAGAUGGAUUCACAGCUGAAUUCUAUCAGACAUUCAAAGAAUAAUUGGUACCUAUCCUAUUGAUUGGUACCAAUCCUACUAUUCCACAAGACAGAGAAAGAGGCAAUUCUCCCUAAAUCAAUCUAUGAAGCCAGUAUCACCCAAAUACCAAAAUCAGGGAAGGACAUAACAAGAAAAGAAAAGUACAGACCAAUAUCCCUGGUGGAUAUAGAUGCAAAAAUUCUUAACAAAAUAUUAGCUAACUGAAUCCAACAGCAUAUCAAAAAGAUAAUCCAUCAUGAUCAAGUGGGUUUCAUACCAGGGGUGCAGGGAUGGUUUAACAUAUGCAACUCAAUAAAUGUGACACACCACAUAAGCAGAACUAAAAAUAAAAAUCACAUGAUCAUCUCAAUAGAUGCAGAAAAAGCAUUUGACAAAAUCCAGCAUAUGUUUUAUGAUUAAAGCCCUCAGCAAAAUCCGCAUAGAAGAGACGUAUCUUAAUGUAAUAAAAGCCAUCUAUGACAAAUGCACAGCCAACAUAAUAUUGAACAGGGAAAAGUUGAAAGCAUUCCCCAUUGAGAACUGGAACAAGACAAGGAUAUCCACUCUCACCACUUCUUUUCAACAUAGGACUGGACAUCCUUGCUAGAGCAAGCAGACAAGAGAGAAAUAAAGCGCAUUCAAAUCGGUAAAUAGGAAGUCAACUGUUGCUGUUUGCUGAUGAUAUGAUUGUAUGCCUAGAAAGCCCUCAAUACUCCUCAAAAAAGCUCCUAGAACUGACAAAUGAAUUCAGCAAAGUUUUAGAAUACAAAAUUAAGGUACACAAAUCAGUAGCUCUGCUAUACACCAACAGUAACCAAACUGAGAAUCAAAUCAUGAGCUCAACCCCUUUUACCAUAGCUGCAAAAAACAAACAAAUUUAAAAAACUAGGAAUAGCCCUAACCGAGAAGGUGAAAAACCUCUACAAGGUAAACUACAAGAUACUGCUGACUGCUUAUUUCUUUUUAACACUGAAUAAUAUUUCAUUUUCCAGAUUUACCACUGUUUAUUUAUCUACCUACUGAAGGACCUCUUGGUUGCUUCUAAGUUGUGGCAAUUAUGAAUAAAACUGCCAUAAAACUCUGUGUGCAGGUUUUUGUGUGGGCAUAAUUUUUCCUUUGGGUAAAUACCAAGGACUAAAAUUGCUGGAUUGUAUGAUAAAAGUAUGGUAAGUUUUGUAAGAAACUGCCAUGCUAUUUCCCAAAGUGGCUGUACCAUUUUGCAUUCCCACUAGCAACGAUUGAGAGUUCCUGCUGCUCCACAUUUUCACCAGCAUUUAGUGUUGUCAGUGUUCUGAAUUUUAGCCAUUUUACUAGGGUUAGUGGUAUCUCCUUAUUAUUUUAAAUUACUUAUUUUUUUUACAUCCAAGUUUUCUCAUCUACCAAAAUGCAGAUGCUAAUGCCUAGUUCAGAUAAUUCUUGUGAAAAUUCACAGAUGUGGUAAUUCGUGGAAAUAACACAAUAUCUGAUAUGCUAAAGCACUCUGGUAGUUUUAUAUAUAGCUAUGAUUCCUGAACUGGGAAGUAGGGUAGGUCAAUCUCAUGUCUACAUAUAAAACUGCAAAAAGAUUUUUAUUUUCACUCACUGAUGUAGAAAAAUAGUCUGUCGUAUUGCAACAGUAACGUCAUCUUCAAUCAAACCUGCCAAAAUGACUGAUGCUUGACCUCUGCAUCCCAAGACAUUCCGCAGCCAGGUUAAGAAACAAUGCCUGUAGCAUAGAUAACCCUUCAGAAAGAUGCUUAUCUCACCUCCCCAGUAGCCACAAGUUUUGCAAGAAAGUCAGAGGCAUGCCCAGCUGCACAUGUUUUACCCCAAAAGCUUGCUAUAUAAAGGACACUUUCUGGAAGGCAGGUUCAAGGAUCCAAUGUCUCUUGGCCACUGAGAAAUGGUUUCUAUUCUUAAGUCCCUAUUAAAUGUUUCUUCCUGAAAAAAUAAACUUGUCAGCCUCUUUCUUUCACCUCUCAGCCAAGGCCUUUAGGGGUAGGUUUUGCCUAUACCUGCCCACUAUGGAAUAACCAACCCGACCUCUAGCCCGUGAGCUAGAAAAUCAGAUAUGUAAGAAUGCUACAUUGACACCUGAACUUGGAUUGUAUGACUGACAACAAAUACUCUUUGAACUACAUCUAACAUUUUGAACCAAUAAUAUUGAAUAGCAGAAAUGAAAUACAUUUGUCUUCACCAUUAACAUUUUUUAAGUGGAUUACCUUCUUUGGGUGAAAUGGAAAUGUAGCAUUUGCAAAACUGUUAAUGAAUUUGUGUUGAGUGGUUAAAUCUACACUACAAAUGAUUUAAUUCAGGGCAUGGUAGAGUAUACUGUUGGUUUCUGAAUGAUGGUGUUAGUUAUGGUCUGAGCAUAAGUUAAAUCAUUUUGUAGUUUAUUUGUUUGAAAUUAGAGCUUUCCUCUUACCAAAUGAUCUCUAGGGCAAAAUGAUUCCAUUACGAACUCUUUUGAAACACCAGAAUUGUCAUCCCUAAUGUUGACUUGGCUUCCUGAAGAAGCAGUUCUGGAUACAUAACUUCAUCAGAACAGCACAGAAUUUGUGAUGCAUUCCACUGAUUCCAAAGACUAUGUUUUAGACUCUACUCUCAAGGGCAGGUCUUUUAUUUUUGUUUGAUUGAGAGAUUUCAUCUACAAAGAAGAAAAUAUAAAGAAUGAUAGUGUCUUUCCAUUUGUCAUGCGCAGUAACACUUGCACUGAAGGAUUUAUAAAACAGAAUCUAGCACAUAAUAAAUCUUUUUUUUUUUCCGAAGGCUUACAAGAUAUCUCAUUCUUGAGAGCUAAUAUGGAACUGGAACUACUCUAAGUAAAAUAGGAAUUCAAGUUCAUUAUGUGUGUUAUUUAUUAACAUCAAAUUAAUUCUGGCCACUGACUGUUUUGCCAUUUCCUCCUCUAGAAGGCUAAGAUUCUAUUUAGAUUCAACUAUUUUUUUCCAUGUUCUUUUUAUUUAUGCUGAAACAGACCAGAAAAUCAAAUAGGCCAGAUUUUUUUUGUUAUUUAUUUGUUGCACAAUUAUUCAAUAUGCAGAUUCAUAAGAUUAUAAAUUAACCACACUAUACGAUUCAAUUUAGAACCAGAAGAGAAUAUUUUAACAAAAUGCACUGAGUUUCCAGUCAUAUUCAGGUACACACAUGUGAAAAGCAAAUUAAAUAAGAGGUCAAAGUAAAAUGAACACAAGACAAUGACAUUCCAGGUAUAUAUGCAAUAUUUUCUUCCUCUCCCUCCACUAAUCCUGAUAAGCCAGUUAAAAUGACGACUGAGUUUUUGGAUUUCUACAUAAUUACAGUUACCAUCAAAGCUAGUGAUUACAUUAAUGUUCAUUGGAUUUGCCUCUUUGAGAGACAGCCAAAUCAGAAAGAUCACAUUUAGGGAAUUCUAGGCUACUGGUGACUGCACAGUGACUUGUGGAGGUGUCCUCAGGAAGAGUUUCAUUUCAUCCUCUGGGGUUUUUAUAAAUUUGAGAUGUAAAAAAAGUGUGUGUGUGUGUGUGUGUGUUUGUGUGUGUUUGUGUGUUGGGGGUAGGGAACAGUGAUCCUUUUUCUAUUUCAUGUCCCAGAAAGAGGAACUGAAUUUAAGUUGUUAAAUACCCAUCCCCUGCAGUAUACAUGAUUUUGGAUUGCUUUCUUUUUAUGGUAUUUUCUCACUUUUAAAGCUAUCCCCAGUUUGGAAAUAGAAAGUGCACCUGUAAUGUGUUGAGGGUGGGAGGGAGAACAUCAUGAUUUUUCCCCAGUUCUACAUGCAUAAAGAAUGAUUGAAAAUGGACAUUUGAGCUCCUGUUAAUAGAGUGAAAAAUAGGCAAAAUUUGGUAAACAGUUUUGCUGGGGAGCCAUGAUUUUAAAGGGCUAUGUUUUUGCAAGGCUAGGCUUUUGAGACAUUUGUUUUCUCCUGGAUACUUCAGCCUCUUCCCAGUUAAAUGGAACUUGUAAGCCAUUUUAGCAUCCCUUGUCUUUCCAUAAUGUUGAGGUUAGACACUACACUAAAGAUUUAUUCCUGGCUGCUAAGGAGAAACAAGUCUUCAAUACUGGGAACUCACUGUGGCUGCUUGCCCACAGAGUUCAGGGAAAGGGAAGCCAGAAGCCAGGCUAUAGGACACACCAGCUAUCCCUCUGAGGUUUCCUCACUAACAAGCCACUUGAAUUAGAAAGCACACAAGCCAGUGGAGAAUAAACCACAUCUGACCAUGGAACAAUUUGAAUGAAGUACUUCAUUGAUUUGACCUGGUGGCUUAUCAAGAUACUUUUGCCCAGAUUCAAUACAUGAGAUUCUCCCCUCAAAAUGUUUGCUCAAUGUUUAGACUUAUUUAAAUGUAUUUGAGGUUUCUGCUUGGAGACCUAAUUUUAUGUAUUUAAACACAUUCAACCUCUGGGUAACUGAUAGUAAAUAAAAACAAAACAUUUAGCCUAUCAAAUUAUAUCACAUGUAUUUAUUGAAUCGUUAAAAAGAAUUACAAAAACCCAGACAUGCGGACUCUAGUAAACGGUCUUUGUUGGUUCUAGAACAUGUAUUCUUAGUCCAGCUGCUUGAUAAACUGCAAUCACCUAAACACACGCUCCUAAAUCAAAUCUUGGAUUUCAGUAAGAGCACUGAGCCAUCACGGGUUUCUGUUUUUUGGAGAAGCCAAGUCAUAAUAAGCUUUUAAAGGUAUGUCUAGUCAAUAUUUUUUUUAAACCUCCUUUCACCUUAAUAUGUGUUUAGCCAACACAACAAGUAUAAUUGUGGAAAUCAUUCUAUAAAUUGCAUGCAUUCACUCUUUGCUGAACAUAGAAGAAAGCCUGAGAAUAUGAAAAGCAAUGCAUUUGUUGCCUUGUUCUCAAGAGGCCACCUCUCUUUGAGAAAACCAAAUCGCAGGGCACCAAAAAUUAAGUAACAAAGAGCGAGAUAUUGACCAUAUGUUUCAGGAGGCUUUGGAUAGAAACUUCCCUGUCUUCAGUGGUUGCAAAUUAGUUGUCCUAGAUUUGAUCUUCAUCAGUAUUGUGCUUCUCAGCUUUUUGGUUUUGAUUCUUGUAAAGCACAUGUUGCUUUGAAUUAUUCUUUCAUUAUAGCAAAGAUAAAGGAGCCUGACAGCAAAAUUGUUUACAAUAAUGAAAAUUUGGAUUUAGCCAAUAUGUCCAAAAAUAUAUUACUAAUAGAACAUAUGGAGCAUCUAUCCAAAGUAAUAUUAUGUAGCUCUUAAGUUUAUUUUGUAGCUUUCGGUUUAAUGAUGUAAUAAAAAGUUAAGAUAUCAAGUGAAAAAGCAGGUUAUAGAAUUUUGGUAAAACUAUUAUACAAGUAAAAUGUUUUUCCUACAUAUUUUGGACGUUCUUACAUCCAAAAAUCUUAUAUCCAUGGACUUUUUAAUGCCACUGUUUUAAAAUUUCACUACAAUAUAUAUUUAAGUGGCAUAUAGCCUGAUCUUAUUGCCUUGGGGUUUGUCUUGGCCAUCAACUUUUGUUGGGCUGAAUUUAGGCCUUCUGAGAGGUCAUUGCAGCCAUUCUCCUCUGCCUAAUCCUCUACUGCCUAUCCCAUCAAAGGGAUCUAAAUGAUUUUCCCCUUCACAGUCAAAGGAAGUUUCUCUCUUCUCGGGGAAGGGAGGGAAGAGAAGCUCCGGGUAUGGCAAACUGAGUCUGUGAGACUAUUUCUAUUUCCCUGGAAAAGAAAAAUUGAAACAAUUUUUAUUCUUUCUGAUAUCUUUAUAGUGGUGAAAGUAAAGAAGAAAAUGUCAUUAAGUUUUCCCGCCACAUUAUAUAUGAACAUGUUGAUUACAAUGUGCAAAAAUUGAAUGUCUGGAAGGGUAUGUUCACCAAAAUUAGUCUAGAAUGUCGUUAUGCUUUUUGUUUCUUUUCCCUUCUUAAAAAUAUAUUUGUCUUAACUGUUUUUUAAGAGUUUGUUUUAUAAUAAAUACAGAUUGCCCUGUAAUAACAAAAUGAAUUUAGGCAAUAAAGUCUUGUCUUUUGUAUCUUAAAAUUAUUUUAAAAUAUUUCAUAAGGGACACUUUGAAAAAAUAGUUUUUAAUCUUUUCAAUGACACUGUAAUGCAAGUAUCUAUUUUUCAUUUACUCAUGUGGAAACCAUGUAAUAAGGGGCUAAAGACAUGUCCCAAGUCAUAUAAAAUAGUAAAUGGCAGAAUGAGAAUUUGGAGCCUCACCUCCUUGACAUAAGUAUUCUCAUUUCUCUUACCAAUUAGACUUUAAAGAAAAAUACUAAUUUGAAAAAUUUGUUCUUGGCUACUUUAAAUUUGUAGGAUGCAUCUACAAAGCAUCUAUUUACUUUCUUGCGGAUCCACUGAAAACUGAUUUUGCUGCUCUAGAUGGGGUGGGAAUAGAGGAAGCAGAAGAAGAUAAGGAAUUUUUUAAAAGUACUGGAUUCGUGUUAUAUUGCUGCUGUAACAAAUUAUCACAAAUUUAGCAGCUUAAAACCACACAGAUUUAUUACCUCACACUUCUGUAGGUCAGGAAUCUGGUGGCUCAGUUGAGCUCUGCUCUAGGUUCCCCAAGGUCAAAUCAAGGUUCUGGCCAGCCUGGGUUUUUACCAGGAGGCUUUGGGAGACAAUCUGUUUCCAAACUGAUUCAGGCUGUUGGCAGAAUUUACUGCUAUGUGGUUAUAGGACUUAAGUCCCACUUGUCUUGCUGGAAGUUGGCUGGGGGUCAUUCUCAGCUUUUUUUUUUUUUUUUUUUUUUUUUUUUUUUUGAAACGGAGUCUUGCUCUGUCGCCCAGGCUGGAGUGCAGUGGCGCGAUCUCGGCUCACUGCAAGCUCCGCCUCCUGGGUUCACGCCAUUCUCCUGCCUCAGCCUCCCGAGUAGCUGGGACUACAGGCGCCCGCCACCGUGCCUGGCUAAUUUUUUGUAUUUUUUAGUAGAGACAAGAUUUCACCAUGUUAGCCAGGAUGGUCUCGAUCUCCUGACCUCAAGAUCCGCCCGCCUCGGCCUCCCAAAGAGCUGUGAUUACAGGCGUGAGCCACCGCGCCCCGCCCAUUCUCAGCUUUUAGAGGCUGACUGCAUUUCCCUUUAGUCUCUCUGACUCAUUUUUGUUUUGUGCCACAUCUCUUCUCUGACUCCAGUCGGAGAAAGUUCUCUGCUGUAAGGAGUCAAGUGAUUAGAUUGGGCUCACCUGGAUAACACAGGAUGCGCUCCCUCUUUUAUGAUCUAUAAUCUCAAUUACGUCUGAAAAAAUCUCUAACAGUCCUACCUAGACAGAGUUUGAUUGAAUAAUCAGAAGACAGGCUAUUGGGGCAACAUCUUUGGAAUUCUACCACCACUAGUUUUUGUUUGUUUUUUUCUUUUUCUCAAAACUUGAGGAUAGAAAUAUUCACACUUUUUUCAACUUUCAAUGCUUAUGCCUAAACAUCUGACACAUAUCAGAUAUUCAUAAAUAUAUUUCCUCCCAAAUCCAUAACUUGAAUAAAUUUUGUCUGUAGUUACUUCGAAAAGCGAAUUUUUAACAAUAAUUUCAACUGUUAUUUUAGAUGCAGGGGGUACACGUGCAGGGUUGUUACAUGAGUAUAUUGUGUGAUGCUGAGAUUUGGGAUACAAAUGAUUCCGUCAUGGAUAACACAGUGAGGUAGUGAGCAUAAUACCCAACAGUUAGUUUUUCAACCCUUGCUGCAGCUCACCCUCCCCCAACUCGUAUUCCCCAGUGUCUAUUUUUGCCAUUUUUAUGUCCAUGAGUACUUAAAUGUUUAGCCCUCUUUUGAAAGUGAGAAUAUGCGGUAUUUGGUUUUCUGUUUUUGUAUUAACUCACAGGAUAAAGGCCUCAAGCGCCAUCCCUGUUGCUGCAAAGGACAUGAUUUUGUUCUUUUUUAAUGGCUACGUAGUAUUCCAUGGUAUAUGUAUCACAUUUUCUUUAUCCAGUCUGCCAUACAUGGGCACCUAGUUGAUUCCAUGUCUUUUCUAUUGUGACUAGUGCUUCGAUGAAUGUAAAAGUUCAUGUAUCUUUUUAGUAGAACAAUUUAUUUGCUGUUGGAUAUGUAUCCAGCAAUGGAAUUGCUAGGUCUAUAGUUCUAAGUUGUUUGAGAAAUUUUCACACUGCUUUCCACAGUGGCCAAACUUAUUUAAAUUUCUACCAACAGUGUAUAAGCAUUCCCUUUUCUCCACGGCCUCACCAGCAUCUGUUACUUUUUUACUUUUCAUAAUAGUCACUCUGACUAGUAUAUGAUGGUAUCUCAUUGUAGUUUUGAUUUGCAUUUCUCCAGUGAUUAGUGAUUUUGGGUAUUUUUUCAUAUGUUUAUUGGCUGCUUACGUGUCUUCUUUUGAGAAGUUUCUGUUAAUGCCUUUUGCCCACUUAUGUUCAGAGGUACAAGUUCAGGUUUGUUACAUAGGUAAACUUGUGUCAUGCAGGUUUGCUGUACAGAUUAUUUCAUCAUGCAGGUAUUAAGCCUAGUACUCUUUAGCUAUUUUUCUUGUUCCUCUCCCUCUUCCCACCCUCCUCCCUCUGAAAGGCCCCAGUGUGUGUUGUUCCCUUCUAUGUGUCCAUGUGUUCUCAUCAUUUAGCUUCCACUUACAGGUGAGAACAUGUGGUAUUUGGUUUUCUGUUCCUGUGUUAGUUUGCUAAGGAUAAUGGCCUCCAGCUCCAUCCCUGUCCCUGCAGAUGACGUGAUCUCAUUCUUUUUUUUAUGGCUGCAUAAUAUGCUAUGGUGUACAUGUACCACAUUUUCUUUAUCCGGUUUAUCAUUGACGGGCAUUUGGGUUGAUUUCAUGUCUUUGCUAUUGUGAAUAGUGCCGCAAUGAACAUACGUGUGCAUGUGUCUACUUUUUAAUGGGGUUGUUUUUUGCUUGUUAAGUUUAUUAUAGAUUCUGGAUAUUAGAUAUUUCUUGGAUGCCUAGUUUGCAAAUAUUUUCACCCAUUCCGCAGGUUGUUUAUUUUGUUGAUUGUUUCUUCGGCUGUGCAGAACCUCUUUAAUUUAAUUAGGCCUCACUUGUCAAUUUUUGUUUUUGUUGCAAUUGCUUUUGAGGUUUUAGUCAUAAACUCUUUACCAGGGUCCAUGUCCAGAAAGGUAUUUCCUAGGUUUUCUUCUAGGAUUCUUAUAUUAAUAGUUUGAGGUCUUACAUUUAAAUCUGUACUCCAUCUUGAGUUAAUUUUUGUAUGUGGUGGAAGAUAGGGUCCAGUUUCAUUCUUCUGCAUAUAGAUAGGCAGAUGUCCCAGCACCAUUUAUUGAAUCGAGAGUCCUUUCUUUAUUGCUUGUUUUUUUUUUUUUGACUUUGUCAAAAAUCAGAUGGUUGUAGGUGUGCAGCUUUAUUUCUGAGCUCUCUAUUCUCUUCAAGUGAGUUUCCCAGACUGUAUGUCUGCUUCUUUUUUUUUUUUUUUUUGAGAUGGAGUCUCGCUCUGUCACCCAGGCUGGAGUGCAAUGGUGCAAUCUCAGCUCACUGCAAGCUCCACCUCCCGGGUUCACACCAUUCUCCUCCCUCAGCCUCCCAAGUAGGUGGGACUACAGGCGGCUGCCAC
rnacentral:lncRNA from 1 species